UGGGAACUCAGCCAUGGCCCCAUGUAAGGUCUGUAGGGCAGCCUGUAUCUGGCCCACCUCUUGGCCGGGGACCUAGGUGGGAACUCAGCCAUGGCCCCAUGUAAGGUCUGUAGGGCAGCCUGUAUCUGGCCCAUCUCUUGGCCGGGGACCUAGGUGGGAUCUCAGCCGUACCUUUGUGCAGUAUGUGAACCUGGGCUGAACCUUUUUAUUUGACAAUUAUUUUUCACUGUAUGAUACAAAGUAUUCAGACCUCUUGACUUUUUCCACAUUUUGUAACGUUACAGCCUUAUUCUAAAAAUGGAUUAAAUAAAACAUUUCCCUCAUUAAUCUACACACAAUACCCCAUAAUGACAUCACAAUAGCCCAUAAUCACAAAGUUAAAAACCUUAUUUACAUAAGUAUUCAGACCCUUUGCUAUGAGACUCGAAAUUGAACUCAGGUGCAUCCUGUUUCCAUUAAUCAUCCUUGAGAUGUUUCUAUAACUUGACUGGAGUCCACCUGUGGUAAAUUCAAUUGAUUGGACAUGAUUUGGAAAGAAACACACCUGGCUAUAUAAGGUCCCACAGUCGACAGUGCAUGUCAGAGCAAAAACCAAGCCAUGAGGUCAAAGAAAUUGUCCGUAGAGCUCAGAGAGGAUUGUGAUGAGGUACAGAUCUGGGGGAAGGGUACCAAAAAAUGUCUGCAGUAUUGAAGGUCCCCAAGAACACAGUGGCCUCCAUCAUUAAAUCAAAGAAGUUUGGAACCACAAAGACUCUUCCUAGAUCUGUCCGCCCGGCCAAACUGAGCAGCAUCAUGCUGUGGGGAUGUUUUUCAGCGGCAGGGACUGGGAGGGAAAAGAUCAAGGGAAAGAUGAACGAUGCGAUGCAAAGUACAGAGAGAUCCUUGAUGAAAACCUGCCAAAGGUGCUUCAACAAAGUACUGAGUAAAGGGUCUGAAUACUUAUGUAAAUGUGAUAUUUUUUUACAUUUUUUUUAUACAUUUCAAAAAAAUCUGUUUUUGCUUUGUCAUUAUGGGGUAUUGUGUGUAGAUUAAUGAGAGAAAAACAAUUAAACCAUUUUCCUCCCUCUAGCUGGUGUUAUAGGUGAUAUAAUGUGUUAGUGCCCAGACGGCAUCCCCAGCCACGUCCUCAGAGCCUGCGCAGACCAGCUGGCUGUUUACGGACAUAUUCAAUCUCUCCAGCACUAACACAUUAUAUCACCUAUAACACCAGCUAGAACAUUAAAUAUUCAGUCAAAAAUGAUACAACUUUACAUUAUUUCAUGAUGAAUAAAAUAAAUCAUUAAUCUAAACAAUUUGAGGAAUUGUCUUUCAGAAAGAGUGUAGCAGAGGACUUAAUUGGUUGACAGAGAAUCAAGAGCAAAGGAUUGUGGGAUAGAUAGUAGAGUGGAAGGAGGGCAGAAAUGUUUUGGGCAGGAGGAGCUACUUAGGUCCAAAAGGCACUGUGUGCUUUUGGUCCAGCUGGUUCGAAUUCCAGAGCAAGGAACUUCAGCCUCAAUUUCUCUGGAUGAAAGUGUCUGCUAAAUGACUAUAAUCAUAGAUCUCAAUCAGUUGAAUCAGGACUGUUAUAUAGCUGGACCAAAAGCCUACAGUAGUCAGGGCAUCUUAGCAUAGCGUCUCUCUGCCAGGUGGGGCCUCGUUAGGGCUGUUACGGUUACCAUUACCGGCAGUCAAAUUCCACGUCACGGUAAUUAGGCAUCUCCAAGCUCUGCUGCUGGUGAUUGUUAACCAACUAAACUUGCUAACUACCUGGUACUCAGCAUUUUAUUGUGCCUCUAAUCACUCUGACAUCAAUGUAAAAUCAAAUCAAACACUUCAUGAGAGCCCAUGAGCUCAAGUGGAGCAACGUUUCUAUAGGGUAUGUCAUUAUGUAAGAAUACAGAGUGAUGACCUCUAUUAAAAAUAGGAGGAACCCAUCAGCUUUCUAUAGGCUAAGCCUACUAUAUUUAUUUAAGAACGUUCCUGAUAUUAAGCACAUUGCUUCUCUUUACAACAGGAGUAUAGCCUACCUGGCUGGCAUGAGAAUGAACCAGGGGAAACGCAUCCUCCAUUCUCUAUUCAAAUGCAUCUAUUUUUUUCUCCUGCCCGUUCUGAGACAAGAUAUGGAUAUGGUCCAUUCUAAAUCAAUACAUAUAUGCCAGGUACCUACUGCCAGGUACCUACUUUUACCUACUGCCAGGUACCUACUUUUACCUACUGCCAGGUACCUACUUUUACCUACUGCCAGGUACCUACUUUUACCUACUGCCAGGUACCUACUUUUACCUACUGCCAGGUACCUACUUGUACCUACUGCCAGGUACCUACUUGUACCUACUGCCAGGUAUCUACUUCUACCUACUACUAUGUACCUUCAACGACAUACUGCCAUGUACCUACUGCCAUGUACCUACUUGUACCUACUGCCAUGUACCUACUUGUACCUACUGCCAUGUACCUACUUC
ensembl:lncRNA